rnacentral:rRNA from 1 species
CCCUUAGAUGUUCUGGGCCGCACGCGCGCUACACUGAUGCAUUCAACGAGUCCAACCUUGACCGAGAGGUCCGGGUAAUCUUUGAAACUGCAUCGUGAUGGGGCUAGAUUAUUGCAAUUAUUAAUCUUCAACGAGGAAUGCCUAGUAAGCGUGAUUCAUCAAAUCGCGUUGAUUACGUCCCUGCCCUUUGUACACACCGCCCGUCGCUACUACCGAUUGAACGGUUUAGUGAGGGCCUCGGAUUGGUCUCGGCCCGCUCUUUACCGGGCGGCGCCGUUGGUCGAGAAGACGCUCGAACUUGAUCGUUUAGAGGAAGUAAAAGUCGUAACA